AUUGAACGCUGGCGGCAUGCCUUACACAUGCAAGUCGAACGGUAACAGGUCUUCGGAUGCUGACGAGUGGCGAACGGGUGAGUAAUACAUCGGAACGUGCCCGAGAGUGGGGGAUAACGAAGCGAAAGCUUUGCUAAUACCGCAUACGAUCUCAGGAUGAAAGCAGGGGACCGCAAGGCCUUGCGCUCACGGAGCGGCCGAUGGCAGAUUAGGUAGUUGGUGGGAUAAAAGCUUACCAAGCCGACGAUCUGUAGCUGGUCUGAGAGGACGACCAGCCACACUGGGACUGAGAAACGGCCCAGACUCCUACGGGAGGCAGCAGGGGGGAAUUUUGGACAAUGGGCGCAAGCCUGAUCCAGCCAUGCCGCGUGCAGGAUGAAGGCCUUCGGGUUGUAAACUGCUUUUGUACGGAACGAAAAGACUCCUUCUAAUAAAGGGGGUCCAUGACGGUACCGUAAGAAUAAGCACCGGCUAACUACGUGCCAGCCGCCGCCGUAAAAC
rnacentral:rRNA from 1 species